rnacentral:rRNA from 1 species
UACGUAGGGGGCAAGCGUUGUCCGGAUUUAUUGGGCGUAAAGAGCGUGUAGGCGGUUCGGUAGGUCCGUUGUGAAAACUCGAGGCUCAACCUCGAGACGCCGAUGGAAACCCCCGAACUAGAGUCCGGAAGAGGAGAGUGGAAUUCCCGGUGUAGCGGUGAAAUGCGCAGAUAUCGGGAAGAACACCCGUGGCUAAGGCGGCUCUCUAGUACGGUACUGACGCUGAGACGCGAAAGCGUGGGGAGCGAACAGG